AACGAACGCUGGCGGCAUGCCUAACACAUGCAAGUCGAACGAGACCUUCGGGUCUAGUGGCGCACGGGUGCGUAACGCGUGGGAAUCUGCCCUUGGGUUCGGAAUAACAGUUAGAAAUGACUGCUAAUACCGGAUAAUGUCUUCGGACCAAAAGAUUUAAUCGCCCAGGGAUGAGCCCGCGUAGGAUUAGCUAGUUGGUGAGGUAAAGGCUCACCAAGGCGACGAUCCUUAGCUGGUCUGAGAGGAUGAUCAGCCACACUGGGACUGAGACACGGCCCAGACUCCUACGGGAGGCAGCAGUGGGAAUAUGGACAAUGGGCGAAAGCCUGAUCCAGCAAUGCCGCGUGAGUGAUGAA
rnacentral:rRNA from 1 species